CCGAAACCAGAUGAUCUAUCCAUGGCCAGGUUGAAGGUUGGGUAACACCAACUGGAGGACCGAACCCACUAACGUUGAAAAGUUAGGGGAUGAGCUGUGGAUAGGGGUGAAAGGCCAAUCAAACUCGGUGAUAGCUGGUUCUCCCCGAAAUGCAUUUAGGUGCAGCGUUGCGUGGUUCUUGUUGGAGGUAGAGCACUGGAUGGUCUAGGGGGCUUAUCGGCUUACCGAAAUCAGCCAAACUCCGAAUGCUGGCAAGUGUAGCGUGGCAGUGAGACGGCGGGGGAUAAGCUUCGUCGUCGAGAGGGAAACAGCCCAGAUCGCCGGUUAAGGCCCCUAAGGGUGUACUAAGUGGAAAAGGAUGUGGGAUCGCGAAGACAGCCAGGAGGUUGGCUUAGAAGCAGCCAUCCUUUAAAGAAAGCGUAACAGCUCACUGGUCUAAUUAAGAGGUCCUGCGGCGAAGAUGUAACGGGGCUCAAGACACGCACCGAAGCUUAGGGUGUGAUC
rnacentral:rRNA from 1 species